UAUAUACUCUCAGAGUCAUUUCCUGAUGGAUAUUUUGGUUGUUACAUUUCCAGUUGUUGCAGCAGCGAUGAUGACUCUGACACUCUUCUUUCGAGUUUUGGGUCCAAAGACCAAGAAAUGUUAACUGUUUGUCCAUGAUCACAUAAUCUAAAAAGUGGCUAAACCAGAACUGCAAUCAAGUUCUAUCAGAAAACAAUAAUUAUGGUUUCAUAAACAAUCUAAAAUUUCAUAAAAUAAAUCUUUCAUAUAUUAAUGAUGUCCAUUUUCAGGAAAUGGACAAAGAAAGCCAGACCUGCCUGAAACAUGAAGACAGAGAAUUGUAUUUUCUGAGCCCAGAUAACAGGCAAAUGCAAACUCAAGAAAAAAUUUGAACAAAGUACGUUUUGCCUAGUGCAAUUGUUGUGAACAAGUGAAGAAGAAAAAACUGAAACUUGAAAAAGAAGCUGAUUGCAUUUUUUCGUCAGUGACAUCUUCAUAAACAAUUGAACAGAAUUAUUUUCAAUGGCACCUGGGAAAUAAAUUUCUGAAACAAAAUUGUAGAGUCUCCAUAUAAUGUGAUCUUCCAAAAUGUCUGACCUUCCUGAGCUAGCAUCGAGACUAAGCUUAGUCAGCUUAUAGGCUGCUGAUUCGCACACCUUUCCACAUUUGUUCAAAACCUAUUUCCUGCAACGUGGAGACUAUGAAGCUAGUAUGAGAAUAGAUUAUCACACUUUGGAUACCGCUUCAGAGAACUCUGAAAAGGAAGAGGAAGAAGUCAUGGGGUGCAAGCAACAGUCAUGUUCAAAUGGGAAUAACACUUAACUUCUUAAAAUUCCAUGUUUAAAUACUACAAUGAAAAGGGUUUAAAGUACUUUCUACAAGUUAUUUUGAAUUAAAAAAUAAUUCAAGCCACAGGGGCAACCAUUACAGUAAAGAUGAAAUACUGCUUCAAUACCUAUUCGGACAUGGAAACUAGCUCAAGUGAGAAUUUAACAAUGAUUUUUUGCUUUUAUUGGCCCCUAUUUACCUUGACUUCUUUUCUCUUCUGUUCUCCCUAUUUUGUAUCAAAAUAUUAGAUGCCAAUGGUGAAAAAAAAAUAAUUUUGUAAUGAAAAGUUUUCUCAUUUCAAAUAACAUCCUACACCCAGUCUAGUAUCCUGUGUAAGCACUAUUUACAUGUUUGUUUUGUUUUGUUAUGUUGUGUUGUGUUGUGUUGUGUUGUGUUUUUUAGGGUGGAUAAGGUUAUAGCUCUAAAAACAUUAUUAUAGCAAUGAUUGUGGAUUUAACUAUCGGUGCUUUAUAAGGAAAAAAACACCUAACUUCUGGUUCAUCCAAAUAAUAGUCUUAAUUGAUUUUACAUUUUUGACAAGCACAUUAUUAUACUGUGGUAUGAUUUUUACAUGUUUUAUUGAUUAUUUUUGUAACAAUACAUAGUAUUCUUAAAAUUCAGUUUCUUUUUCCAUGAAGUUUAUAUUACUCUUUUUAUUUCAGAUUACCUGUCACUUUUUUCAGUCAAUAAAUAUUUCUUGAGUAUCUACCAUAUUCCAGAAUCUGUUUCAAUCAAAGAGGGUUCAGCAGAGAGCAAAAUAGGUAAACAAAAAACCAAAAAUAUUCUUGUCCUCAAGGGCUUACAUUCUAAUAUAAUAGCUCCAAAUUUCAAUGGCAUGAACACCGUGUGCCUGACAAAUAUUUCUAGCAUCAAGGUCAAAUACAAUCCCUUUUCCUG